UUUCUCUUUUAUCCAUUCUUACCACAGGGUAUGUUCUUUACACUGACUGUAUAGAAAGAGGAGGUACAGUAAUGCACCCCAUAUACACCUCAACUCAGGCCAUUUGCCUGGUCUGUAUUGUAAAUUGGGGGACAAAA